GUUCCGUAGGUGAACCUGCGGAAGGAUCAUUAUCGUAUAACCGAGGUGCGAGGGCUGUCGCUGACCCGAAAGGUCGUGCACGCCCGAGUGCCCUCACACACAUCCAUCUCACCCCUAUGUGCACCACCGCGUGGGUCCCCCUUUGGCUUGUUCGGAGGGGGGCUUACGUUUUCACACAAACUUUGUAUGCAGUGUAGAAUGUAUUUUUUGUUUUUGCGAUCACGCAAUCAAUACAACUUUCAACAACGGAUCUCUUGGCUCUC
rnacentral:misc_RNA from 1 species